rnacentral:tRNA from 1 species
GCGCCCGUAGCUCAACGGUUAGAGCGCCGGACUCAUAAUCCGUCGGUUGGAGGUUCGAAUCCUCCCGGGCGUA